rnacentral:rRNA from 1 species
GACGAACGCUGGCGGCGUGCUUAACACAUGCAAGUCGAACGGAAAGGCCCUGCUUUGGUGGGGGGCUCGAGGGGCGAACGGGUGAGUAACACGUGAGUAACCUGCCCUUGGCUUUGGGAUAACUUCAGGAAACUGGGGCGAAUACCGGAUAUGAUCUCCUGCUGCAUGGUGGGGGUUGGAAAGGUUCGGCGGUUGGGGAUGGACUCGCGGCUGAUCAGCUUGCUGGUGGGGUAGUGGCUUACCAAGUCUUUGACGGGUAGCCGGCCUGAGAGGGUGACCGGCCACAUUGGGACUGAGAUACGGCCCAGACUACUACGGGAGGCAGCAGUGGGGAAUAUUGCACAAUGGGCGGAAGCCUGAUGCAGCAACGCCGCGUGCGGGAUGACGGCCUUCGGGUUGUAAACCGCUUUCGCCUGUGCCGAAGCGUGAGUGACGGUACUGGGUAAAGAAGCACCGGCUAACUACGUG